rnacentral:rRNA from 1 species
CAGCACCUCAAGUGGUCAGGAUGAUUAUUGGGCCUAAAGCAUCCGUAGCCGGCGCUGUAAGUUUUCGGUUAAAUCUGUAUGCUCAACAUACAGGCUGCCGGGAAUACUGCAGAGCUAGGGAGUGGGAGAGGUAAACGGUACUCGGUAGGAAGGGGUAAAAUCCUUUGAUCUAUUGAUGACCACCUGUGGCGAAGGCGGUCUACCAGAACACGUCCGACGGUGAGGGAUGAAAGCUGGGGGAGCAAACCGGAUUAGAGACCCGAGUAGUCC